UACGGGGGGAGCAAGCGUUGUUCGGAUUUACUGGGCGUAAAGGGCGCGUAGGCGGCCACCGCAAGUCGACUGUGAAAUCUCCGGGCUUAACCCGGAGCGGCCAAGUGAUACUGUUGUGCUAGAGUGCGGAAGGGGCUACUGGAAUUCUCGGUGUAGCGGUGAAAUGCGUAGAUAUCGAGAGGAACACCUGCGGCGAAGGCGGGUAGCUGGGCCGACACUGACGCUGAGGCGCGAAGCCAGGGAGCGAACGGG
rnacentral:rRNA from 1 species